AAGAAUACAGGCUUCGCGGCCGCUAUUCUCACCCUUUGCAUACAGAAACUUGUUGCUUUGGCAGGCCUCCGGCGCACGCCGGGCUGCGCCUGCCAGAGGAUUUAAACCCUAGAAUUAUUGCUGUCUGAGUACUAUCUAAUAGUUA
rnacentral:misc_RNA from 1 species